rnacentral:misc_RNA from 1 species
GAUUAUUCAUAUAUUACAAGAGUAACAGAUACUUUGCCUUUUCCUACAUAGCAUAUCCCUGAGGUCUUUCUUAUACAAGUUUUGAUGCAAUCAAUGGAAUCCCCUGGAUCCUCCAGACUGGUAGAGUUCCAGCUUGCUUUUGGAUUCAUGCAACAAUGUCUCCGUCUCUUCAUCUCGGUUCAAGUGUGCCUGCUUUGAUGCCCAUUUGAGCACUGAAAGCACCUCGGCUUCAGCAAGCUCUUCGCUAUUAGGGACGUGCAAUGCAAUGUCACAUAGGAGAAGCAAUGCAGAAUUCUGAACUACUUUUUCACCAAAGCAAACAAGUUGAACCAAAUGUCCUGCACCUCCAGCGCUUAGUAUUGCCUUGCAAUGAUUCAGGUGAAGGUAGUUCUCAUUGCACGAAAAUUUCUUGAGGGAAAUGGCUGCUUCAUUUGAAAUCUCUGGUUCUCGUUGAUCGAGCAGCUUUACUAAUGGGCUAAUCAUCCUCGUCUCAGUAGCUCGAAAAGUCGUGGCCAAAUUCCCAAUUGACCGAAUGCAUGGAACAAGCAGGUUCAAAUCUUCUUUCUCAAUGAUUCUCAACAGUUGAUCAACAACAGCUUUGCAAGCAGGUGAAUUAGGCUUGAACACUGACUUUCUCAAAUCAGGAUCUUUCUCCGCCACUGCUGUGAUUUCCAUUACUGCCAUCGCGGAAUGAUACUGAACAUCUUCAGCCCCUUUCUCCAAGAGUACUGCAAAGCAAAGCAGUGCUCUUGAAUCAGUAAUGCUAUGGCAAAUAGUUGAAUUUCCCUUGGCCAGUUUCCAUAAAGCUCUUGCAGCCAUUGCCUUCAUAUAAGCCUUGGUAGUAGGGUCCUCAGAUUCUCGCCCUCUAUUACUGACCCCUGUAGCAUAAUGACUCUGCUGAUGAUAUGUCUGGUUUGCAUCAUUGAACGGAGACGAUUGCAUAUCCGUGGUGGCAGUAACCACAUUGUGCAUCUGAGUAGGCUUCUUAUUUCCUAAAGGAUGUGGAAUGUGGCUAUUAUCAUCAUCCUCAUUCAACUUGUGCACUUUACUAGCUGAAAGAACAGCAUCAAUCGACGUGGAUUUGCCAACAAUAGCAUACUUGCUAUGCUCCUGAACCGUCUCAAACGCGAGAUGGCUAACAAGUAAUCUGAUUAUGUUAUUCUGAUGAAAAACAUCUUGACAUUCAGGAUAAUGUGCAGCAAGUUCAGAAACUGCCCAAGCCACCACUGCUUGAACCUUCAUAGGACCUUCUUUGAGGAUUUUCGCAAACACUGAGCAAACCCCAGCAUGUAUCAUGUGUUCAACGCUUUCCGGGUCACGCCCAAGAAGACCAAUUGCCCUAGCAGCAUUCUCCUGACCUUCUGAUUUCCCUUCCUUCAAUAAUUUCAGCAAUGGCCCAACUCCACCUUCUUCAAUAAUCAAUUUCCCAUACCGGUCAUUGUCUCUGGCUAAAGAAACAAGCGAAUUAGCCGCGUCUGAUCUGUCAUCAACACUACCCGUGUACAAAAUAGCGAUCUGCUCCCAAAUUAGGCAUAAAAUUGGCUCAUUCGCAGCAAUAGGAGGGAGACCCAAAC